rfam:Gardnerella vaginalis ATCC 14019, complete genome.
UCCUGCGUAGCUCAGUUGGCAGAGCGUUCGACUGUUAAUCGAAUGGUCGCUGGUUCAAGCCCAGCCGCAGGAG